rnacentral:lncRNA from 1 species
UGGUUUGUGGUUCUUAAACUGGUAACUCUUUCCUACAACAUAAAGUCGAAAGGCAAUGACAGCCGACAACAGAGUUGAGUUAGUGGAUAUUGGUACACGAAAGCAGUUGGUUGAACAGGACAUGGGGUUGGUUGAAGAGGUAAGGAUGUUGAGACAACAUAUGGCGGACAUGUAUCAGGUUUGGAUGACUGGGAAGGCACCACCCCCGCCACCACCUAGCUUCCUAGAUGCUACCCUUACCCAAGCUCCGGUCAUAGUGUCAAAUGAUCCACCAUAUUCUCCGGAUUUUCCCGCUAAUCACAGCUUUCCUAACCUCCCUAGUAGCUCCAUCGUUCGUCCUCCAACUACCUUUCCCAAAAAUAGCCCUUCUGAUGUUCUUGAGCCUCGCCAAUGACAAGUCCUAGUGGGCGUUCCUGCUCAACGCUUUCAGCCUCAACAUCAACCCCAUGAAUAUCUCCGUACUCCAGAUAAUCCUCCCCGAUGCUACUUCUCUCCACAAAAUUUCCAAAGUCAUACCUCACCUUCCCACUACUCUAUCCAUAAUGCAUUGCCAUAUGCUCCACAUCCACAGGACUCGCAUUGGCCUACACCACUUCCACAAAUAUUUUACCCGCCUCCUCAUGCAUGUUAACCACCUACCCGCAAGAGGUUCCAACCGAGGCCAGAGUACAAAAUGAAAAGGCAGCAGCAAAGAGAAAAGUCUUUCACUCCUAUUAGAGAAUCAUACGCUAGUUUGUUCCAAAGGUUGAGGCAAUUGGACAUGUUGAAGCCAAUUCAGAUAAAAAUGCCGAACCCCCUUCCAAAGAAUUUUGAUUAUUUCCAAAGGUGCGCAUAUUGCUCUAAUGCCCCCGAGCACAAUAUAGAAAAGUGUUGGCAUCUGAAAAGAGCAGUCCAGAAGUUUAUUGAUGCAGGUGACAUUACCGUACAAAAUCCAGAUACAACGGAUACUAGCCAAAGUCCUUUGCUUGUUCAUAAUGAGACACAUAUGGUGGCAUAAUUUGUGUUGAAAAGGAAUGUGAGAAAUCUUCUGCAUUUCUUGGAGGGCCACUUACCGCAAAGUUUUCAGCGCUAUCAGUCUCGGUUCCAGAAGUUGAUCUUAAGAACGAGUUGGCAAAAGGGACCCAAAAGCUAUUUGCUAAGGUCAACGUGAUCGAGACUUGUGAAGGUUCUGGUAAUGUCGAUGUGCGACUUAGUGGCUAAGAUGUCGAGCUUUGUAAUUGGAAAGACACUCCUUUCUUGGCUAGCCAGGGAGGAGUUUUGGUGGUUGAUUUUGUUGUCAUUUCUGUUUGUCCGGGUUAUUUCAGGGUCGUAAUCCGGAUAUUGUUUUGUGGCUCAAACCCUUCUUCCUCAUGUUUUUCCUAGUUCGUUUAGUUAUAGUAACUCGUCUAGUGUUAUCUAGGAUCGUUCCAAGGUUGUAACCCAUGUCUAUUUUGCUUGUUUUGUUUUUCAAACCCUUUCACCGUCUGUCUAAUGCAAUCUCAUAUUUUCUGUUAUUUCUAGUUAUUUUUGUUUAGUUCUCUUUUCCUUUUAUAGUUUUUUUCAUGCCGACUCUAGUGACAUGAUUUGCACGCGGAAUUCUCAGCCUGGUCUUGAAAAUUAGUCUAAUCAGGAAGCAAUGAAACAAAUUUUGAAGAUGAUAGGGACAUUUGAGGGAAAGAAGUAAAGAUUUGAAUAUUUUGAGAUCAUUUAAAUCCCGAAUUGUAUGAAACUGGGCAGAUAGUUUGGGAAGUUAAUAGGACGACAAGGAUUUGGUAUAAGAGAGUGCAUCCUAGAAUUUUUGAAGCAAGCAACUUUGAGUUCAAGUGCAUCUCAGGUUACAAGAUAAAGCCAAGGGAGUUUGUCCCAAACUGACGGAGGGUAUUCAUUGUGAAGAAGAAAUCACCCAAUGAGAGUUCUGUACUUGACACGACACUAAAGAAAGAUGGAAGGCAUAUCUGGGAUAUAAAUACCGAUGCUACAAAAGAAAUGUUGUGCAUGAUCUUCAUUUUUCAUCCUCAAGUUGCAUGUGUCGUACUUGGCAUUUUCAGAGAUUGGGAGGCCCUCUUUCAACUACCCAAACACUUUAUACCCUUCGGUACCCUUUUGAGCCUGUGCUGAUCUCUUUGACUUUUCCUCUUUUGGAAUCAAGUUAAAGUCAUAAAAAAGAAAAAAAGAAAAAAAGAAGAAGAAGUUUGUAUCCCCAUAGGUUUGUUUCAUAAUCCCACGAAGUCAAGAGUGGGGCAAUUUUCGUAGAAAUUCCAUAUAAAAAAAAGGAAGAGGUUCAAAUUCUCUUGUUUUAUAAACCGGGGCAAAGUUUUAAAAUACAUUCCAAAAGUUAUAAAUAAAUUAUCCAUUUUAUCUUAGUUUGAAUUUGAGCCUUCAUGCCUUUCUUUCUUUCUUUCUAAUCCUGUCCAAAAGUCACAUUAAAGUCCAAAAAAGACCUCCCAUAUGAUCUUUGAGAGUGCCGAGUUAGACAUGCCAGGAGCAUAUGAUAUUUUUACCAUGGUUAAUGCUUUGUCAUCUGCAGAAUCAGAGGACAUAAGAAGAAAAGAAGAAAAUGAGAGAGUCUUAUAGGUGAAAACCCUCACGGGCACCAUAAGGAGACGGUGAGUUGAGAGAAAGAACAAAAUGAGAGAGGCUUGAUAGUAAAAACCCUUCAGGGCACUACAAGUCGACUGAGGAUCGUGAAUUAGAUAGGACAAUUGGAGCAUUGAAACCUAGUUUCACAGCUUAGAGGUAUGACAAGAAUGGAAGAUUAGACUUGCUUGACAGAUCAUGCCACUUAUUCCAAGAUGCACGUCAUGAUCAUUAGAGUUGGUGUUACAUCAGAAAACUUUCUACUUUGUAAUUCUUUUGUUAGAUGUCAUAUCUUUCCAUUGUCCCUUUACUUUGUUCUUCUUGCUUUGUUUAAGUCCUCUUUUUGAGUCUGCUCUGUCAGAACAAGUGAGAAAUGACUUCAAAAUUUGCUACCAGCUUUCCAAUUGCACAAAGCGAAGUGUGACUAGCACAUCAAAGUGGCAUAAGUCAGGGAAAAGUGGCAUUCGUACUGAGUUGAUAACAAUUGAAGUGCUUUGGGAUUCAUGUGAAAUGCAAAGGUUCGGUAAAUGUCAAUUCAUGGGUACAAUGCAACAGAUAGAGGAUUUGGGCUUGAACGGAUCAUAGGUAUUUUCUGUGAUAAGGGUGAUAGAGAAAGUGGUUAGCCAAUAACAAUCAAGGUCUUCCAAGUUGAAAUCAAAGUUAUCAUGGCAAGUGUAGGAGCAAUCACCCUCAAGAUCAAGGCCACAAAUCAACCACUAUGUUUUAAACUCACAAGUCUUCUUUGCUUGAAACAGGGACGAAGACUAUGUCCAAAUCAAAGAUUGGAAGUUGGAAUUUUUCAGGUAUCGUGCCCAAAUUUUGGGAGCACAAAGGUUGUUUGAGAAGGUUUUUACCUAGUUGAGAAGAUCAUACCUCCUAGGCAUUCUCCCUAGUUGGAAGAAUUUAUAGUUUUUCUUAAGUUCAGGGGUCCCGCCUGGAGAAUAGGGUCAAUUGUUAGUUUCCUUAAGUUUUAAUCUUUAGUUUUUUGAGUUCAGGGGUCCCGCCUGGAAAAUAUGGUCAAUUUUUAGUUUAGUCAAGCUCAGUUUAUAGUUUUCCUCAAGCUCAACCUCAAAUAUAGGAGAUGCACUUCCUAGUUUGGGUUUUUCAGAUUCUAUUUCUUUAGGAGGUGCACUUCCUAAUUUUAUGUUAAAGGCUUCACCCUUAGGAGACGCACUUCCUAGUGUGAGUCAUUUAAGUUCAUCCCUAGGAGACGCACUUCCUAGUUUGAGUAAUUUAAGUUCACCCCUAGUAGACUCACUUCCUAAUCUGGAUCUUUCAGGUUAUUCUUUUAGGAGACGUACUUCCUAGUUUGGGUCAUUCAGGUUUUAUUUUUAGCAGACGCAUUUGCAAGUCAAAUUUUCUUGGUUUUACUAAUAGGAGACGUACAUACUAGUCGAGUCUUUAGUUUUACUCUCAUCAUUGCAUCAAUAGCAUAGGUAUUUUACAGUUUUGCUAACAACUCACAAAUCUUCCUAGUGUAAACUGAGGCAGAAAAUUUUGUUUGUUGUGUUGUUUUAAUUGCAGGCACCCACUUGAAAAAUGAAGGGAAAUAUUUCAGAAAUCAAUUUUAGGUUCAAGUCAUUGGCAGGCGCCCACCUGGAGAACGAGGAAAUUUAUUUCAAUUUUAAAGUCAUCAGGCGCCCACCUGGAGAAUGAGGGAAUUUAUUUUAAGUUUUAAGUCAUCACGCGCCCACCUGGAGAACGAGGGAAUUUAUUUCAAGUUUUAAGUCAUCAGGCGCCCACCUGGAGAAUGAGGGAAUUUAUUUCAAGUUUUAAGUCAUCAAAAGCCCACCUGGAGAAUGAGGGAAUUUAUUUCAAGUUUUAAGUCAUCAGGCGCCCACCUAGAGAA